CAUGGAGUGGCGUCGAGACCCGAAGAGAUUGAAUGACUGUCCACACAGAUUUCAUGACGGUAACAUUUGUCAUCGUUGCCAGUUGUCACCAUCUACUGUGAUAUCAAUCAGCUGUCAUAGUUCCCAUGGAUCUCGUCUCAGCGCAGUUGGCACAGCUGGUUGUCGUCACCCUCUGCUGCGGCGUCGGCCAGCUGGUGAAGGCCG